AUAAAGGCAUAGACUAUUUUCUAAAUGGGGAGAAUCCAGAAAUUGGAGGUGCAAAGGGGCUUGGGAACACUGGUGCAGGUUUCCCAAAAACUUAAUCUGCAAGUAGGAAUCAAACACA